GACGGGGCCCGCACAAGCGGUGGAGCAUGUGGUUAAUUCGAAGCAACGCGAAGAACCUUACCAGGUCUUGACAUCCCCUGACAACCCGAGAGAUCGGGCGUUCCCCUUCGGGGGACAGGGUGACAGGUGGUGCAUGGUUGUCGUCAGCUCGUGUCGUGAGAUGUUGGGUUAAGUCCCGCAACGAGCGCAACCCUCGACCUUAGUUGCCAGCAUUCAGUUGGGCACUCUAAGGUGACUGCCGGCUAAAAGUCGGAGGAAGGUGGGGAUGACGUCAAAUCAUCAUGCCCCUUAUGACCUGGGCUACACACGUGCUACAAUGGGCGGUACAAAGGGUCGCGAACCCGCGAGGGGGAGCCAAUCCCAAAAAGCCGCUCUCAGUUCGGAUUGCAGGCUGCAACUCGCCUGCAUGAAGCCGGAAUCGCUAGUAAUCGCGGAUCAGCAUGCCGCGGUGAAUACGUUCCCGGGCCUU
rnacentral:rRNA from 1 species